CACGUUGAAACAGCGGUUCUCUUCCAAUCAUUAAAGUUAAGCAAUGUCGAGCUUAGUCAGUACGUAGAUGGGUGACCACUAGGGAAUACCAGGUGUUGUAAG